rnacentral:rRNA from 1 species
GAUGAACGCUGGCGGCGUGCCUAAUACAUGCAAGUCGAGCGAACGGACGAGAAGCUUGCUUCUCUGAUGUUAGCGGCGGACGGGUGAGUAACACGUGGAUAACCUACCUAUAAGACUGGGAUAACUUCGGGAAACCGGAGCUAAUACCGGAUAAUAUUUUGAACCGCAUGGUUCAAAAGUGAAAGACGGUCUUGCUGUCACUUAUAGAUGGAUCCGCGCUGCAUUAGCUAGUUGGUAAGGUAACGGCUUACCAAGGCAACGAUGCAUAGCCGACCUGAGAGGGUGAUCGGCCACACUGGAGCUGAGACACGGUCCAGACUCCUGCGGGAGGCAGCAGUAGGGAAUCUUCCGCAAUGGGCGAAAGCCUGACGGAGCAACGCCGCGUGAGUGAUGAAGGUCUUCGGAUCGUAAAACUCUGUUAUUAGGGAAGAACAUAUGUGUAAGUAACUGUGCACAUCUUGACGGUACCUAAUCAGAAAGCCACGGCUAACUACGUG